rnacentral:tRNA from 3 species
GCGCACAUGGCGGAAUUGGUAUACGCGCAGGAUUUAGGUUCCUGUGGCCUUGCGGCCGUGAGGGUUCGAGCCCCUUUGUGCGCA